AAUUAAAGGCAAAUGUGGGAUCCUUGAAUUUUGUGUUCGUAAAAAAGGCGAAGAAAUAUUUACAUACAUGGCAGUGUUAACAAAAUCUAUAAGUAUUUUUGUUGGUCACAUUUCAGUAUAUGGGACUUCCAAACUGUUCCCUUUGUUUUGAAGGUUGUGAAGUCGGCAACUGUAGUUUCAGUUUGUUCGUUUUUUAACGGGCC
rnacentral:lncRNA from 1 species